GCCUCCGUCGCGCAAUCGGUUAGCGCGUUCGGCUGUUAACCGAAAGGUUGGUGGUUCGAGCCAAACCCGGGGGCG
rnacentral:tRNA from 1 species